AUAAAGCUAAACCACCGCUGCGCACAGAUGCAAUACCAGCUACUUAAUCGCACAGGGGCCAUAAAUCAUUUGGCCUGAUUUAGCGAUCGAAGGAUCGGUCUGUAUUUCAUCCAACCCGGGCCGCUGACCACUAUGAU